rnacentral:rRNA from 1 species
CCUACGGGAGGCAGCAGUCGAGGAUCUUCGGCAAUGGGCGCAAGCCUGACCGAGCGACGCCGCGUGCGGGAUGAAGGCCUUCGGGUUGUAAACCGCUGUCAUAGAGGAGGAAGGUCCGGUGCAGAGCCGGAUUUGACCUAUUCUAGGAGGAAGUGUGGGCUAAGUUCGUGCCAGCAGCCGCGGUAAGACGAGCCUCACGAACGUUAUUCGGAAUCACUGGGCUUAAAGGGUGCGUAGGCGGUGUGGAAAGUCGGGUGUGAAAUCCCUCGGCUCAACCGAGGAACUGCGCCCGAUACUACUAUGCUCGAGGGAGAUAGAGGUGAGCGGAACUUAGGGUGGAGCGGUGAAAUGCGUUGAUAUCCUAAGGAACACCGGUGGCGAAAGCGGCUCACUGGAUCUCUUCUGACGCUGAGGCACGAAAGCUAGGGUAGCGAACGGGAUUAGAUACCCUAGUAGUC